CAAAGGUGGGAGCGGUAGCCUU
rnacentral:siRNA from 1 species